UCGAGAAUCUUCCGCAAUGGACGAAAGUCUGACGGAGCGACGCCGCGUGCGGGAUGAAGGCCUUCGGGUUGUAAACCGCUGUCAGUUGGGAGGAAAUGCUAUAGGGUUCUCUCUAUAGUUUGACCGAUCUUCAGAGGAAGUCCGGGCUAAGUUCGUGCCAGCAGCCGCGGUAACACGAACCGGACGAACGUUAUUCGGAAUCACUGGGCUUAAAGAGUUCGUAGGCGGCUUGGUAGGUGAGGUGUGAAAUCCCACGGCUCAACCGUGGCAUUGCGCUUCAAACCACCAGGCUUGAGGGAGAUAGAGGAAAGCGGAACAGAUGGUGGAGCGGUGAAAUGCGUUGAUAUCAUCUGGAACACCGGUGGCGAAGGCGGCUUUCUGGGUCUCUUCUGACGCUGAGGAACGAAAGCUAGGGUAGCGAACGGGAUUAGAUACCCCCGUAGUCC
rnacentral:rRNA from 1 species